AGGAUUAACUAUUACAGAUAAGAAUCAAAUUUUGCUCCAAUUUAAAAACGAUACGGCUAUCUUAUAUUAAAAUUAUGACUGACUUAUUGUUUUAGUGCCAAACGUACGCAUCGUCCUCUCAAUUUUAAUUUUGUUGCUAGAUAUAACUCACUACUAGUGAACACAUAGGUAUACGACGCGCGCCGGAAUAGGAUAUCGAGUUCGAGCUACGAGCUCGAACGCGGUGUCGGUGUCGAGGUGUUUGAACUGAGUUUAAACAUAGGGAUGUAUCGCCGCGCUAUAGAGAGAGAGAGAAAUAAACUAUAAUAAAAUGUGUUCGUUUGACUGUUCCAACAACUAAAUUAGGCGCAUCUAAAACAUCAUGUCACUCCAAAAUUUGAAAGUCCAAGUGUUCCUUCCUAAUGCCAACAAGCGCUGGGCAGGUACAGAAGCUGUACACAGGGUUUCAUCUUUCUCUAAGCUCAUUAGGCAUCGGAAACUAUAUCGAUGGUGCACAUGUGUUUGUUUAGGACGCUGUGUCAAAUGAACAGCUCCACUACAAUUCUGAGAUCUUUUCUACAGAGUCUCAGUAGCUUUUCACUGCGUUUCUCAUCAGGCCCUUCUAUUAGCAGUCCCCAGUGACGACAGUACAAGAUCUGUAAUUCUUGGUAGGUAUUUAAUAGAAGUCUCAAAAUGUCUUUUUCCGACACGGUAAGUAGCGGUAGCGUACACAGCGACCCUAGCUUAGCAAACGGAUUCUUAAUAAGGACCUUCUGAAGUCUUGUUGAUUGUGGACGAUUGCCUGCCUUUCCAGAAAAGACUUUCCAUCUGUCUGCUUUUUUACUUAGAAUUGCGCAUUUGAAUUCUUAUUGAACCCUCUUAUAGAGCUCUCAAGAAUUGGAUGAUGUGUCCAGUCGAGCCCUAUUCCAAAUGUUCCUUGCAGUGUGUCCCAAUCCACUUAGGGUUACGCUUUGUAGAACUCUGUGUGUCUAGGCGGCCGUUUUUUCCGCCUCUUUUACGUGUCAGACUUUAUUUGGCCUCUUUCGCCCUUUUCGAGAAAGCCUCCUUAAAGAAGUACCAGUUUUUUCACUUGGAUCUUUAUGUUCUCGUCUCGACUCUCCAUUCUUUUGAAUGCUAAAUCCGAUGUAUUGAUGAUCCGAUGAACUGAACUCUGAUACAUGCCAGUCUUUGAUUUCCUGAGCCAACCCUAUUGAGUGGAGAGCUAUAUCGAUAACCUUUUCCCUCACUUUAGUGACAAAAAUAGGUUUGUUUCCAUGGUUCAGAAUAUCCAAACCGCUGUAACAACUGUAAUUCAGAGGAAGCGCUCUCUGGAAUCGACAUCAGCACUCCCCCACACUAUGUGGUGUGAGUUCGAAUCGUAUCCCACAAUGAGGGGCCAUCCCUUAGCCUUGCUAAAGUCUGUUAUCGCCAUUAGUUCAGCUGAGGAUAACAGUAUAUGUGGGUCACAUAUCAGAUAGACACACUAUCAGAAUUUUCUGCGUUCCACCACGUAUGAUAUUUACACGGGCAGCCACUACAUCCCUAAAAUCAGGUUUUCUAAAGGAAGAGCUUGUACCGUUUGAAAUAAGUAGAGAUAUGUCCUGAAUUUACAUUCGAUAGGACCUGUAAUAAUUGAUCGUUUCUGUAAACACAGGUUCCUUAACCGCCCCCCAUAUAUCCACUGUUUCUGAAGAAGCCCAAUUCUACACCCCAGAUGCCGAAAAAGCCGAAGAUGCACCACUAUGGUUCAGAUUGAACUGCAGAAAUAACAGUGGGUCCCUAUUCAGUAGGACCGUUAACUAUCAUUUUCUACACUUCCGUCUUCCUGUCUACCCAGCAACGUUAUAGUCGCGAUUCUGGGCCUCUAAGGGUCUUAAAGUCACCCUGAAAACCACGAGUAAUUCCUGAACAAAUAGCAAAGCUUUCCUUGGUCUUAGAAGUUCCGCGGUUGAUGUAUACCGCAAAGUGAAACCCUCCAACUGUAGGUCCCUCAUCCUGACACUAUAUGUGGAUUACCCCCUGUCGAAGUUUCCCAUUUACAAGGUGGGUUUGAUGUCCAUCUUCAAAAGGGUUAUCUGCAGCAAACAGCAGUGUCUUGAAAACCCUCUCUUGAAUGAUGUUUUAAUGUGCGUUUUCUAGUUCUCCCACAAGGAAGCCUUUUGCAAAAAUACACAUUUGAAAAGCAGGUGUGACCGCUCUCUUCGCACUGCGUGUGUCACUGGGAGGAGUCUGGGUCUCUCCGCUUGGUUCCGGGUAGCGGUUCAGUCUCUCUACCCGCGAAGUUCCUUUCUCUACGACUUGCUUUUGGAGACGGUGGAUCCUACUUGGUGCCGAGCCCUCUACUAAGCCCUAACAGCACAUUGUUCAACAUUUCCGCCACUUGCGAGUCCAUGUUUCCACUCAAAUUCGAUUCAUUUGAAUUUAUGGUUUCGUAUAGGUCCCACUUGCACCGGAGAAAAGCAUUCAACUGCAUUUCGGAAACGCUGAGAGAACUUUCGCCCCACGUGGCUUCACUACGGUCAUAGCAUUCUAUAGCACCCACGGCAUAGCAUUAAUCUCCAUUAUGUGGUAGACAGCUAUUAUUAUCUUUUGGGGAAAUUUGAAAUAUUCAGGUACUUCGAGGAGCUUACUCCGGUUAAUUGUAUCAUAUGUUUGUUUGAAGUUAGUAAAUAUCAUACAUAAACAUAGAUUAAAUUCAUGCGUGUUUGAGAAGA